rnacentral:lncRNA from 1 species
GGGCAAAAUUGGGAGAAUGUUGCCCAAAACAACGGGCCAAUAUAUACAUUUAUUUUAUUUGUAUUAUUUAACCUUUAUUUAACUAGGCAAGUCAGUUAAGAACAAAUUCUUAUUUACAAUUGACGGCCUACCCCGGCCAAACCGGGACAACGCUGGGCCACUUCUGCGCCGCCCUAUGGGGCUCCCAAUCACGGCCGGAUGUGAUACAACCUGGAUGGAGGUAAGCGUUACACUUCUGACAGGUCUCAUGAUUGUAUUACUUUAUCUGAAAGUGAGAGAGUAAAUCCUAGCUGUUGUUAUUCUUUUACCAGGGUUAGACCAUCCCCCAUAUGCCAUUAACAAUUACGGGAAUCUCUAUAUGGCCAAUGGAAAUGGUGUCCCCCUGUGAAUGACCAACAAUGGAGCAAGUAAGCAAGACAUGCCAGCAGAGCUCACUGGAGCAGGAAGACUUCCCGUCCUCCUCUCGGCGCCUGACAAGAAGCCAACAUUGCUGCACAGAGGGAGGUAACCUCAACAUCCAUCAGAGGGAGGGGAUCUUCCCAACAAGCAGCGUUUCUGAACAGAGGGAAGAGAUCCUCACGAAAGCUGGUUUCCCUGUGAAGAAUAGAGACAAUCCUCCACAACCACCUCCCAUCAUCCCCAUGGUGGGACGAAAGUGGGAAUGGGAUGGUGGAGUGUGUACUAUUCCAAGAGAAGAGAUGUCCGGAGUAGACGUUGCGCAUCCUGCUAUGAUGUCCAUCACCAAGCCAGAACACUCCGAGGCCAACCCUCGAAGCCAGACUGGCAGCCAGGCCAGUGACUGAGCCUGAGACCCCUGCUGCAAAGAACACACCAAACAAUGGUGGCUGGCUCAGCUGGUUCUCUGUAGGGGAAAAGAGGUUCAUCCGAAGGAGGCUCAUCUACCCGAGGACAAUGACAAAUCGGUAAAGAACCUGUUAUUUAUAUUCUAUAUAUAGACACUAGUGGAUUAGUGUUUUUCUCUGUGGCUUGAUGCAUAGUGUUAUUAUUUUCAUCCUCAGAUUAUCUGGGAUCCAACCCUGCACAGAUGGGUUGACAAAAUUGAGCCCAAUGCUGAGGUAUACACUUACAUUAAAUUCAAUUUAAAGCAGUGAAUGAUCAUUGUAUUUCAACUGUGAGAAUAUUACUAAUAAUUGUAAAAUAAGUUGACGUGUUUUACAGAACAAGCCAGUGCCACCACCUCCCCCAAUGGGAAUGAAUGGACAUCUGGGGAACUCUGGCAGUCUCCCCAAAGGAGAGCAGGUGAAUGUUAAUUUAGACUACAUUAGGUUUAACUCCAAGACUGUACCAGCCAAUCAUUGCUCUUUGUGGUGAUCUCCUGCUAACAUUUUCCCCACUAACUGCAAGUCUAUGGGGCAAUUAUGGACCACCACAAAGCCUCUACCCUCAUUGUGCCUAUGGCGUUGCCAUUUGAGUCUGCUCAAGAUUGCUGGCAGAAUCCUGCCCCUGGUAUUCUAUCCUAUAGAGGUAUGAUUCUGAACAAUCCUUCCAAAAAUAAUCAAUUUCAUUAACUAUGCCUUUACUUUACAGUAACAUACAGUAGCAUAUGGCUGAAGUAACAGUGAUGUUAACAUUUUGGAUUUUUCUCCCACAGGCAAUUUUCCCAGAGUGGAGUUCCUUAUAAGGGGAUUUUUCAGCAUUUUCAAAGAAUAAGACAAAUAUUUAGCAAAGAAAAAUAUUAUUUGGCAAUUGCCAAAUUAGUUCUUAAUUAUUAAAAGACUCAAGCAUUUCCCUCUCUCCGUCAUUUCAUCAUGUUCACAUAGCUUUGAUAUGUUCAUCACUUACAAGCCCAUUGAUAAUGAAAUGAAUCAUCUGUGUAGCUCCAGUUAUGCCUUAAUGCCAAACAAAUAGGGAAAAUAGAGCCAUCUAAUUUCAUUAUUAAUAUUUCCUAUGCAUUCUUUUG